ensembl:lncRNA
UAUGGUCAUGUAUAGAUUGUCUCAUGUAUUUAUAUAACUGUUGUUGAUUCUUAGCAAACAUUUCAAUCAAGAAACAACUGCAUGACCAAGUGCUGUUGACAGUGCGCUUGCAAGAGGAAAAAAGCAUUUUGGUGUUGGAGAUGGCACAACACUGCACAUGGUUGCAGAGCCUGCAGUGGUUCUGAAGAACAAGAUAGAUGAGGAGGACAAGGGAAAUGAGGGACUUUGUUGUCUCUUAAGAAGAAGACUGUCAGAGGUGUCAGAAAGGUUGCAGGUGGUUCUCCAACAGUACAAGACUGCUUUAGGCCUCAGUAGUUCAGACACCAGUGAGGAUGAAGAAAACACAAUUUAGGUAAUUAAUUUAUUCAUAUGUAUGUUUGUUUGUUUUCAAAAAUAGACCAGGGGUGUUCCAUCAAGGUGGAUAAAGGAAAAGCCUGGCUUAGGAACAUUGCAGCAACGUCAACUGGCCCGUCUCAGCUCAACUCAAAGCGGGUUGACGCUGGCGCUGCAACUCAGCUUGUCAAUUUGCCAGAUGCUGAUUUUAGAAUAUAAGGCAUGGCACCUGUUUCAACAGCCAGUCAGCUUGGAGGGCUGCUUAUGUACUCCAUGCACAAGCACUGGACAUGCUUAUUCAAGCCUGGUUAAAGUCAACGUUGACUAGACAUGGCUAAAUUUCGUAAGCGGAAUGGCUUGAGCCUGCAGUGAAAGUCAAUGUUAAUUCAAGCCAGGCUUUUUCAAGAGAGCACAGCUUCUAUUAGCUGCAUUGAUAGAAUAUUCCCAUUACUGUUGAUGCUUUACACAUCUCGUUCAUUCUAAAACAGCUGAGCUUCACCUUCUUAUCCUACCUUUUGCAUUUUUGUUUUUCUGUAUUUACCCAGAUGGAAGCUGCACAAAGGACUGUAUUGAAGGAAAUGGACUUGGCUAGUAUUUGUGUAUUUUUAGUAUGUUGAUAGAUUUACCACAUUAAAGUCUGUAUGCAUUCUAUAUUGUUGAAAAUUAAACCUGUCUGUAGUUGCCAACCAAUUCAGAAAGCACAUGAAUGCUCCUUGAAGAUGCACAAACCUCUUAGUAUAGGUGUACCAAUCUCUGCCAAAAGUUUUAACUUUGCACAUAUAUUACCAGAUGUAAUAUCAUGACAUGAUAUUUGGGUAGUGUAUUCAUACUCCUUUAAGACAGACCCCCCUUUGAUUGCGGUGACCCUGUGACCUUUCCUCUUGUGUAAAACUCAAGGAUAAAGUUUUGACUUGUAUACAACAAAUGUUAGGAACAGAUUCCUAAGUAAUUUGAGCACUCUCAAGCUUCCCAGGCAUUGAAUCCUGUCAGUUUUGUUGACCUCAUGACAUUCCCUGUAG